rnacentral:sRNA from 1 species
GGUAGGUAUGGUGGUGCACGCCUGUAAUCCCAGCAGCUCAGGAGGCUGGGGCAGGAGGAUUGCAAGUUCAAAGCCAGCCUCAGCAACUUAGCAAGGCCCUGAGCAAUUUAGUAAGACCCUGUCUCUA